UCUGCACACCAACCCAAGGGUCGUUAUCAUGCUUGGUUGUGAUGACCGACGCAGCGUGUGCGUAAAGAAACGUCAAGAGCCUUGUCGCCUUUUAUAGGCCGUCUUCGUGCCGAUAGAAGUGAAUUCAAGGUCCUACAUUC
rnacentral:snoRNA from 1 species